ensembl:lncRNA solute carrier family 26 member 3
GUUGGGCAAUAGAAAUAGCCAUGUCUCCCUCUGCCAUGAGCACAUGUGGAGGAAAAAUGGAAUGUUUGCAUCACAUCCAUAAAACCCUUUAUAAGUCUUCAAAGGCAUUUUAACCUGCUAAAGGCAAGAAGGGUUUGCCACAUAGUUUCAAAGGUCUUCCACUUACUACAACCCUCAGAGAGGGCAAAAUGAUCGAGCCCAUUGGGAAUCAGUAUGUUGUGGCCAGGCCAGUGUAUUCUGCAAAUGCUUUUGGGGAAGACCAUAAGAAGAAACAAAGACAUCAUAAGACGCUUCUGGAUCAUCUCAAAAAGUUGUGCCGCUGUUCUGCACAAAGGGCCAAGAAAAUUGCCUUCUCCUCGUUCCCCAUAGCAUCUUGGUUGCCAGCAUAUCGCAUAAAGGAAUGGCUCCUCAGUGACAUUGUUUCUGGAAUCAGCACAGGGCUGGUGGCUGUACUGCAAGGUUUAGCAUUUGCUCUGCUAGUCACCAUCCCCCCAGGCUACGGGCUAUAUGCAGCCUUUUUCCCAGUCAUCAUCUACUUUUUCUUGGGCACUUCCAGACACAUAUCUGUGGGUCCAUUUCCAGUUCUGAGUAUGAUGGUGGGAGCAGUAGUUGUGAGACUAACCCCAACAGACAGUGCAGCUGAUUCAACAUUCACUAAUAGCUCAAUGACUAACGAUUCAUCAAUAGAUGAGCAGAAAGUGAUAGUGGCUGCAACAGUUACAAUUCUUUCUGGAAUCAUCCAGUUGCUGAUGGGGGUUCUACGGCUGGGCUUCGUGGUGAUUUAUCUAUCUGAGUCCCUUAUCAGUGGCUUCACCACCGCUGCCGCUAUUCAUGUUUUGGUUUCCCAGCUCAAAUUUAUGUUUCAGCUGACAGUCCCGGCACACACCGAUCCAUUUUCACUUUUUAAAGUCCUAGAGUCCGUAUUCUCACAAAUAGAGAAGACUAAUAUUGCAGACCUUGUGACAUCCUUGGUUAUCCUGGUGGUGGUAUUUGUGGUUAAAGAAAUAAAUCAGCGCUACAAAGCCAAGCUUCCAGUGCCCAUCCCAAUUGAACUCAUUGUGACUGUGAUCGCAACAGGUGUGUCCUAUGGCUUUGACUUCAAAAGAAGGUUUAAUGUGGCUGUGAUUGGGGAGAUGAAACCUGGGUUUCAGGCCCCUAUCAUACCUAGCAGGCAGACUUUCCAAGAUACCAUUGGAGACUGCUUUGGCAUUGCCAUUGUUGGCUUUGCAGUGGCCUUUUCUGUGGCCAGCGUCUACUCCCUCAAGUAUGAUUAUCCCAUUGAUGGCAAUCAGGAGUUGAUCGCCAUGGGAGCAGGUAACAUAUUUGGUGGAUCGUUCAGAGGAUUUGCAGCAAGUACCUCUCUCUCCAGAUCAGGGGUCCAGGAGAGUACAGGAGGCAAAACUCAGAUAGCUGGCCUUAUCUCUGCUAUCAUUGUGCUGAUUGUCAUCGUUGCCAUCGGAUUUCUCUUGGAGCCUCUACAAAAGUCUGUCCUGGCAGCUUUAGCACUUGGAAACUUGAAAGGAAUGCUGAUGCAGUUUGUGGAAAUACGAAGAUUGUGGCGAAAGGAUAAGUAUGAUUGUCUAAUCUGGGUCAUGACCUUCAUCUUUGCCGUUGUCCUGGGGCUCGGUUUAGGCCUGGCAGCUAGUGUGGCAUUUCAGCUCCUGACUAUCGUCUUCAGGACUCAGUUUCCCAAAUGCAGCAUGCUGGCUAACGUUGGAAGGAGCAACAUCUAUAAGAAUAGAAAAGAUUAUUCUGAAAUAUAUGAACCAGAAGGCGUGAAGAUUUUCAGAUGUCCAUCUCCUAUCUACUUUGCAAACAUUAGUUUCUUUAAGCAGAAACUUAUCGAUGCUAUUGGCUUUCGUCCACUUCGAAUUCUUCGCAAGCGCAACAAGGCUUUGAAGAAAAUCCGAAAACUGCAGAAGAAAGGCCUGCUACAAGUAACACCAAAAGGAUUUAUAUGUACUGUUGAUGGCUUUAAAGAUUCUGAUGAAGAGCUGGACAAUGAUAAGAUUGAAGAGCUGGAUCAGCCCAUCAAUACCAAAGACCUGCCUUUCCAAAUAGACUGGAAUGCUAAUCUUCCUCUCAACAUUGUGGUCCCUAAAAUCAACCUCCACAGCCUCAUUCUUGACUUUUCAGCAGUGUCAUUUCUUGAUGUUUCUUCAAUGAGAGGUCUCAAAACGAUUCUGCAAGAAUUUAUCAGGAUCCAGGUAGAUGUGUAUAUUGUUGGAACUGACGAUGACUUCAUUGAAAAGCUUACACGGUGUGAAUUUUUUGAUGAUGAAGUCAAGGACUCAAUAUUUUUCUUAACAAUCCAUGAUGCUGUUUUGCAUAUUUUGAUGAAGAAAGAUUACAGUACUUCAAAGUUUAAUCCCAGUCAGGAAGUAGAAGCAAAACUUGAUGAUUUCACCAUCAAUACAAACGGAGGAUUACGUAAUCGGGAAUGUCAGGUAAGAAUCUUCAGCAGGUUUAUGUACAUAUAUAUAGACAGUAUGACAAAGAACUUUCAAAAAUGCUGA